rnacentral:rRNA from 1 species
UACGAAGGGGGCUAGCGUUGUUCGGAUUUACUGGGCGUAAAGCGCACGUAGGCGGAUACUUAAGUUAGGGGUGAAAUCCCAGGGCUCAACCCUGGAACUGCCUCUAAUACUGGGUAUCUCGAGUCCGAGAGAGGUGAGUGGAAUUCCGAGUGUAGAGGUGAAAUUCGUAGAUAUUCGGAGGAACACCAGUGGCGAAGGCGGCUCACUGGCUCGGUACUGACGCUGAGGUGCGAAAGCGUGGGGAGCAAACAGG